rnacentral:rRNA from 1 species
AUUGAGCGCUGGCGGAAUGCUUUACACAUGCAAGUCGAACGAUGAACCUUAGCUUGCUAAGGGGAUUAGUGGCGAGCGGGUGAGUAAUGUAUCGGAACGUAUCCAAUAAUGGGGGAUAACUAGUCGAAAGAUUAGCUAAUACCGCAUACGUCCUACGGGAGAAAGCUAGGGACCUUCGGGCCUGGCGUUAAUGGAGCGGCCGAUAUCUGAUUAGCUAGUUGGUGGGGUAAAGGCUCACCAAGGCGACGAUCAGUAGCUGGUCUGAGAGGACGACCAGCCACACUGGAACUGAGACACGGUCCAGACUCCUACGGGAGGCAGCAGUGGGGAAUUUUGGACAAUGGGCGAAAGCCUGAUCCAGCCAUUCCGCGUGAGUGAAGAAGGCCUUCGGGUUGUAAGCUCUUUCGCAAGAGAAGAAAACUUAAGCUCUAACAUAGCUUGAGGUUGACGGUACCUUGAUAAGAAGCACCGGCUAACUACGUGCCAGCAGCCGCAGUAA